rnacentral:rRNA from 1 species
CCUACGGGAGGCAGCAGUGAGGAAUAUUGGUCAAUUGCCGUAAGGCUGAACCAGCCAAGUCGCGUGAAGGAAGAAGGAUCUAUGGUUUGUAAACUUCUUUUAUAGUGGAAUAAAGGUAUCCACGUGUGGAUAUUUGCAUGUACCCUAUGAAUAAGCAUCGGCUAACUCCGUGCCAGCAGCCGCGGUAAUACGGAGGAUGCGAGCGUUAUCCGGAUUUAUUGGGUUUAAAGGGUGCGUAGGUUGUUUUUUAAGUCAGCGGUGAAAGUUUGUGGCUCAACCAUAAAAUUGCCGUUGAAACUGGCAGACUUGAGUGUGUUUGAGGUAGGCGGAAUGCGUGGUGUAGCGGUGAAAUGCAUAGAUAUCACGAAGAACUCCGAUUGCGAAGGCAGCUUACUAAGCCAUAACUGACACUGAAGCACGAAAGCGUGGGGAUCAAACAGGAUUAGAUACCCGGGUAGUC